CAUGAAGUCGGAAUCGCUGUAAUCGCGGAUCAGCAUGCCGCGGUGAAUACGUUCCCGGGCCUUGUACACACCGCCCGUCACACCAUGAGAGUUUGUAACACCCAAAGCCGGUGGGGUAACCUUUUGGAGCCAGCCGUCUAAGGUGGGACAGAUGAUUGGGGUGAAGUCGUAACAAGGUAUC
rnacentral:rRNA from 1 species